GGCCGGUAGAAGGGGCUGGGCUCCUCGCGGACUGCAAACCCGUUGGGCGCACCUCAGGCGCGCCGCUCGGUUCGAUUCCGAGACCGGUCUCCA
rnacentral:tRNA from 1 species